UUCUUAUUGGAUGAUGACUGUCACAUAUCAUGUUGUUGGAUGUCAACUCUAUGAAAGAUGAAAUGCAUUGUUAUUUUCAUUGACCAAUCUGAACAUGACACGUAACAGUCGUCAUCC
rfam:Glycine soja cultivar W05 scaffold3583_3, whole genome shotgun sequence.